GAAUUUGGUGUGCACACUGGUGUGGAUACCAGGUCACAAUGGCAUUGUGGGGAAUGUGCGAGCCGAUUACUGGGCUGGGAAAGCACAUGACAAACCAGAUAUUACUAGGGUGGCAGUAGGGCACCAGGAAUAUACACCAGAAGUGCGCCGAUGUGUGCGACAUCAAUUUGCGACUCUGUGGCAGGAGUUUCGACAAACCCAUCUGAAGAUAAUCAAGCCUACCAUUGGUCAGUGGAUGUCUAGCAAACGGGGCAAUCAGCGCUGGUUCUAACGCCUUCCUCACUGCUUAUUUGACGAAAGUAGUUCAGGUUAUUUAACCAUUAUCUAAGUUUGACCUUCUAUCAUUUCCACGCUAAUUCCUCCCCACGCUAUUUCCACACCUCUUGUGUCUCCUUGUCCCUGCCUAAACUAUGCUUAGUACCGCUUAGUACCGAUUCCAACAAUAUCGAACGACGAAUUGAAGACCGAAACAAGUCUGCGAAGUUGGACGCUUGAGCCUGACGGCUACGCGCCCUAAUCCACGAAGAAGAAGAAGAAGGGAGAGGUGGGGCAGGAAAAUUGCGAUCGAGCAGCCACUGCACUGGGACGUGGAUUGGUAUUAUCUAACCGCAGUACGUCAGUACGUCCCGGGCGGCCGGCGAGGUCGGGUCGGGCCCCGGAGCUCCGGUAUGUUUGACAGGUCGGCGGCCGCGCGCGGUCAGAGUGGCGGUCGAGUAGUAGACCCUGUGCGGGCGCGCUACGGCCCGUGGCCAGAGUAAGUGAACGGUCAUCCAGCCGCGAAAUGUGAUUCUGCGCUUGCUGUGACGCGGUGCAUUUUGUGCUUUGCUGUUGUGAGACGCAAUGAUGGACUCUGCGUCUGCACUCAGCGAUUCAGACGACACUGCGUUUCAGCUGGCUUGUGCCAGCCCCGGUCCUACGGUCCGUAAGCGGCAGCGUUCUGUUGGGGACAUGUUUCGUCGCAUGGAUCAGAAGAAACAGAGAUACGUCUCUCUUAAAGGAAAAGAGCAAGUAAUUAAAGACGCGGAGUUUUUGGAAGACAUCAAAGCAAUGAUGAAAAGUUGCAUCGAGGAAAGUAACGAAAAGUUGUGGCAGAAAAUGGAAAACAAGAUCUCGUCGUACGAAAACAGGCAGGGUUUGGUGUUUGCAUAUUUGUCCAUGAACAGUUUGUGAACAAUGUAA